ACUCUGUUAAGUACUAGUAGAUUCAGAAAUUUAGUUCAUAGAAUUAUUGGUAGGAGCAGUAAACGAGUCAAACAAAAAUAUCCAUAUGCAAAUGUCGGUCUAUGUUUGAUUCAAUUUGGUUUGCUCUGCUACUGAAGCUCCUAUCCGGUCUAAUGUUUUUUGUUUUGUCUCUUUUUCUGUUGCUAGGAAAGUGAUGAGAAGAUGUCG
rnacentral:lncRNA from 1 species